GUGGGUUAAGGGGCGUGUUGGAGGCUGUCCAGCCAGAGUGGUGGCACCUCGUUAGGGAGAAUGUUAAUUUAGGAUUAAGUCAGAAGAGCUCGAAUGAAGUAAGAGCAGCCUGUAGGGACAGCGUGUGAGAGGCAGGGGAAGGAAGGGGAGGACUGGCUUCAUUAGCAGGCUGCAGGGAAAUGUAAUAAGCAAGCCGCCGGCCAUAGGUAGGAAAGCACAGACAGAAGAAAGAUGAUGAAAUGUGUAAGGUAAGCCUGACUUUAAGGGUUAUUAAGGUUAAUGAACUCCAUCAUCUGAAGAAAGGAAUGAGCUGUUUUGAAGGAUGAGAUUAAAGAAAGCCCUGUUGCAGACUAAGACAGAUGACUUUCGGUGCUGCAUCUUGAGUAGACUGAAAUCUUGAAUGACCCUCAAACCAGACACUGAAGCAAUUAAGAAGGGGGAGUGAUGGGGGUAACAGCAACACCGUGUUUGGCUAUGGCCGCAGAGGUCAUGAAGAUGUUGCUGUCAUCCCCUCAUGCUGCACAGAUCAUGUUGCGCAGAGGAGCCAGGGAAGCUGACGGGAGGUUUCCGUGACACAGAGGAAUGCAAAGAGAAACACUCAUCACAUCUGAGGUGCUGUCUGUACUUUUGUUUGAUCCUCUGAUUGGGUAUCAUACAUGGGUAAAAAUGUGGCAUCCGUAUCCUUUCCAGCACUGACCUUGAUACCUACUCAUACAACUUCAAAAGUACGCUGUAUUAGCAGAACUGCUUUGGCCCUUUCUCAUCCACCUUUGGAGAUGAGCAAGCUGUCUGCAGUCGAGAGAAAAUCCUGGGACUUCACUGCUGUCAGCUUCUGAACUUUUCUGUGUGCCCACAAAGUUCCUGCCCUCAGAGGUUUCAAGUCCUUCCUAAACUGAAGAGAUUUCCAUAAUAAUAUGGUAGAUCAAGGGGAGGCAGUGGAUGAAAAAGCAAGGAUGAGGCAGGGCAUGGUGGAGAGGAACUUUGUAGCUAUCCAUGAGUGCAGAAAUUAGGAUUAGCAUAGAGUGCAGAGGGGGAAUGCAAAUACUUGUGUUUUGGUGUUGUAAAUCUGAAUUCUUAACUUUGAAGUAUCCUUCACCAUUGAAACGAUCCUGUGCCAUUUAUCAUCUGCAAACCAUUGCAAUGAGGGCAAACAAGAGAUGGGCAAAACUGACUUUACGAUUAUUUCUUUCUCAAUGUAAUAAACCCAAAUGAACCUGGAGUGGUAUUUUUGUAGUCUCGAAGCUGCCAGUACAACACUGUGUCUCUGAAAGAGAUAGGGUGAAAAAAAAAAAUAAAGUAGCAAGCUGUUCUUCCUA